rnacentral:rRNA from 1 species
CCGGCGCACGGGUGCGUAACGCGUAUAGAACCUACCUUUUACAGGAGAAUACCCCAGAGAAAUUUGGAAUAAUGCUCCAUGGUAUUAUUAGAUGGCAUCAUUUAGUAAUUAAACAUUUAUGGGUAAAAGAUGGCUAUGCGUUCUAUUAGCUAGAUGGUAAGGUAACGGCUUACCAUGGCAACGAUAGAUGGGGGUCCUGAGAGGGAGAUCCCCCACACUGGUACUGAGACACGGACCAG